rnacentral:rRNA from 1 species
AGAGUUUGAUCAUGGCUCAGAUUGAACGCUGGCGGAAUGCUUUACACAUGCAAGUCGAACGGCAGCACGGGUACUUGUACCUGGUGGCGAGUGGCGAACGGGUGAGUAACAUAUCGGAACGUAUCCAAUAAUGGGGGAUAACGAGUCGAAAGAUUCGCUAAUACCGCAUACGCCCUACGGGGGAAAGCUAGGGACCUUCGGGCCUGGCGUUAAUGGAGCGGCCGAUAUCUGAUUAGCUAGUUGGUGAGGUAAAGGCUCACCAAGGCGACGAUUAGUAGCUGGUCUGAGAGGACGACCAGCCACACUGGAACUGAGACACGGUCCAGACUCCUACGGGAGGCAGCAGUGGGGAAUUUUGGACAAUGGGGGCAACCCUGAUCCAGCCAUUCCGCGUGAGUGAAGAAGGCCUUCGGGUUGUAAAGCUCUUUCGCAAGGGAAGAAAACUUAUCCUCUAACAUAGGAUGAGGUUGACGGUACCUUGAUAAGAAGCACCGGCUAACUACGUGCCAGCAGCCGCGGUAAUACGUAGGGUGCGAGCGUUAAUCGGAAUUACUGGGCGUAAAGCGUGCGCAGGCUGUUUUGUAAGUCAGAUGUGAAAUCCCCGAACUCAACUUGGGAACUGCGUUUGAAACUACAAGACUAGAAUAUGUCAGAGGGGGGUAGAAUUCCACGUGUAGCAGUGAAAUGCGUAGAGAUGUGGAGGAAUACCAAUGGCGAAGGCAGCCCCCUGGGAUAAUAUUGACGCUCAUGCACGAAAGCGUGGGGAGCAAACAGGAUUAGAUACCCCGGUAGUCC